UACGAAGGGGGCUAGCGUUGUUCGGAAUCACUGGGCGUAAAGCGCACGUAGGCGGACUCUUAAGUCGGUGGUGAAAUCCUGGAGCUCAACUCCAGAACUGCCUUCGAUACUGAGAGUCUUGAGUCCGGGAGAGGUGAGUGGAACUGCGAGUGUAGAGGUGAAAUUCGUAGAUAUUCGCAAGAACACCAGUGGCGAAGGCGGCUCACUGGCCCGGUACUGACGCUGAGGUGGCGAAAGCGUGGGGAGCAAACAGGG
rnacentral:rRNA from 1 species